UUUGGUGCCGGUGCAGGCACUCGAGCCCUGUGUCAGCCACUCUGCCAGCUCUGGCACCCUCUGCAUCCCUCCAUUGCUGCAUGUGUCGGGGGCUCGGCUGCAUGGCCAGAUCUGCAGAGGUUUAAAGAAGUAAAAAAGACAGUUCAGAACAUGGGUGCCUAUCUGACUGGCAUGGCAGAACAAAUUGAUGAAGGAAGAAUGGUGGAUGCUGUCUACCUAGACUUCAGCAAGGCUUUUGACACUGUUUCCCAUAACAUCCUGGCAGGGAUCAGGCAGUGGAAAGGACACACUGAGGAGCUGCAGAAUUGAAGCUAGACUCAAGUUCAGGCAGCUGCACAAUGCACAGCAAAUACAG